AACCAUAGAAACCUGCGGAGUACCUGCGGAGGGAUCAUUAUCGAGUUGCAAAACUCAACCCUUUGUGAACAUACCUCAGUCGUUGCUUCGGCGGUGGACGGCCUUUUUUCGAAAAGGCCCGAAGCCGCCGGAGGUUCCAAACUCGUGUUUUGUUUAGUGUAUCUCUGAGCCUGAGAACAAAUAAUCAAAACUUUCAACAACGGAUCU
rnacentral:misc_RNA from 1 species